rnacentral:rRNA from 1 species
UACGGAGGGGGCGAGCGUUAUUCGGAAUCAUUGGGCGUAAAGGGCGCGUAGGCGGCGUGGUAAGUCACUUGUGAAAUCUCCGAGCUUAACUCGGAACUGCCAAGUGAUACUGUUGUGCUAGAGUGCAGAAGGGGCAACUGGAAUUCUCGGUGUAGCGGUGAAAUGCGUAGAUAUCGAGAGGAACACCUGCGGCGAAGGCGGGUUGCUGGGCUGACACUGACGCUGAGGCGCGAAAGCCAGGGGAGCGAACGGG